GACGAACGCUGGCGGCGUGCCUAAUACAUGCAAGUAGAACGCACAGUUUAUACCGUAGCUUGCUACACCAUAGACUGUGAGUUGCGAACGGGUGAGUAACGCGUAGGUAACCUGCCUGGUAGCGGGGGAUAACUAUUGGAAACGAUAGCUAAUACCGCAUAAUAUUGAUUAUUGCAUGAUAAUUAAUUGAAAGGUGCAAUUGCACCACUACCAGAUGGACCUGCGUUGUAUUAGCUAGUAGGUGAGGUAACGGCUCACCUAGGCGACGAUACAUAGCCGACCUGCGAGGGUGAUCGGCCACACUGGGACUGAGACACGGCCCAGACUCCUACGGGAGGCAGCAGUAGGGAAUCUUCGGCAAUGGACGAAAGUCUGACCGAGCAACGCCGCGUGAGUGAAGAAGGUUUUCGGAUCGUAAAGCUCUGUUGUAAGAGAAGAACGGGUGUGAGAGUGGAAAGUUCACACUGUGACGGUAUCUUACCAGAAAGGGACGGCUAACUACGUG
rnacentral:rRNA from 1 species